rnacentral:rRNA from 1 species
AUUGAACGCUGGCGGCAGGCCUAACACAUGCAAGUCGAACGAGUGGCGGACGGGUGAGUAAUGGCUGGGAAACUGCCUGAUGGGGGGGGAUAACUACUGGAAACGGUAGCUAAUACCGCAUACCAUCGGAGGUGCCCAGAUGGGAUUGGCUGGUGGGUGGGGUAACGGCUCACCUAGGCGACGAUCCCUAGCUGGUCUGAGAGGAUGACCAGCCACCCGGGAACGGAGACACGGUCCAUACUCCUACGGUAGGCAGCAGUGGGGAAUAUUGCACACUGGGCGCAAGCCUGAUGCAGCCAUGCCGCGUGUAUGAAGCAGGCCUUCGGGUUGUAAAGUACUUUCAGCGGGGAGGCGUUACCCGCAGAAGAAGCACCGGCUAACUCCGUGCCAGCAGCCGCGGUAAUUC